ACUUCACAGUUCAACUGCAUCUCUUUUAAAACAAAGACAGGCAGACAAAUUAAGAAGAAUAACAUGGAUCCCUCUACAGUGCAUCGGUGGCUUCCUCAUUAAGCCGUUAAAAGAGAACGGCUGUCUACAAAACAAGCUAAGUCAAAAGGGGAAACCGCAGACAAAGAGCCUGAGUUUAGAAAGCGUAGUCUGGAAUGAGAUGUAAAUCACUGGCUGAGCUGAUGCUGUGCAAAACCUCUUCAAUUAGCUGGAGGGAAGACAUCACGAAGUCCGCUGUCAAAGCAGUUCUGAUUGGCUGAGCAGGCCCUCAGCAAACAACUGAGUGGACAAGAAAAAUGGUGCCACACAACCAGCAAGAAGAACCUCAGCUGAGUCGAGCCAAAGACCCGUGCACGUUUCCAUAUCUCCUCCGGAGGAUAUGAUCUCAUCAGCCGUCUCUCCUGCAAUUACUUGAUACUCCUCUGAGACCGUGACGCAUCUUCACUCCUGGGGGUUAGCUGGCUGAGCAUUCAGGUGACACUGAAUAGCUGACAUCUCAAUACAACUCAGUCUUUUCUCAGAGAGCAGGAGAUAAAACAUUGAGGGUCUGUUCUGAGAUCAGUCCCACCGGACUGAGGCUGAGAGAGCUGAAAAGACUCAGUCUGAUAAACCUCUCAGCAGAACAAAACAGGCCACACAACCUCUCAUGCUCACACACAUUAAACAAUGUGGUCACACUUUAAACAUGCAUGGAACAUAAGGAUAUACCCGUGUAUUUAUACCCACAGAGGGUGUUGCAGAAGAGUUCAUCCCCCUCGACCAUUUCCCCAUUUUGUCACAUUAAAACCUCAAACAUCAAUGUAUUUUACUGAGAUUUUAUGUUAGACAAACACACAUCAUUGUGAAAAAAAUGAGGGAAAAUGAUCUAUGGUUCUCAAAAUGUUUCCUUUAAAUGCAUUUCUAUUCAACCCUUCUGAGUCAGUACUUUGUAGAAGCACCCUUUGCUGCGGUAAGGUCUGUUGGGAUGUGCCUCUAACAGCAAUAUACAGGUCCUUCUCAAAAUAUUAGCAUAUUGUGAUAAAGUUCAUUAU